GGAUGUGAGGGCGAUCUGGCUGAGACAUCUGUCACCUCACUGAUCACCUGAGUUGAUUCAGCUGAUCUGGCUGGCUAGGUGGGUGUCCCCUUCCUCCCUCACCACUCCGUGUUUGUCCCUCCUGAAGCUGCUCGGUCAGUCCAAGAGGACAGCUUUCCCUGAACAGAGUCAAAUGUGUCUUUGGUGGAGGGUAUAGGAGUAACUGUGUUAACCUGCUAGAACCUCCAAAAAAGCUCUCAAGAAGAUGAUUUAAUUUUGUAAUAGCUUCUUGAAAAUGUUUAAGUUUACUUAACUGCAUGCCAGA
ensembl:misc_RNA 7SK 7SK RNA